rnacentral:misc_RNA from 1 species
AACGCACAUUGCGCUCUCUGGUAUUCCGGAGAGCAUGCCUGUUUGAGUAUCAGUUAACCAUUCUCAAGCUACACUAUUCUUAGGAGUCGUGUGGCGUGGAGCUGAGUGUUCCCGGUACGAGUGCCUCGGCGCUGUAACUGGGAGACUUGAAACUGAUCUCGCGGGAGCAGUGGUCAUUAAGGAUCAGCUCGUUGCAGAUGUACUAGUUGGAGGCGUCGCAAGGCGUUUUCAUUCUUAGCCACCAAUACGUAACGUUCAGAUCUGACAACUGUCACACCGACGAACGCAGGAACUUGGAGGAAGGCGCAAGCCAGACUCCUAAUUCUUGAUCUCAAAUCAGGUAGGAUUACCCGCUGAACUUAA